AGUGAACGCUGGCGGUAGGCCUAACACAUGCAAGUCGAACGGCAGCACAGUAAGAGCUUGCUCUUACGGGUGGCGAGUGGCGGACGGGUGAGGAAUACAUCGGAAUCUACUUUUUCGUGGGGGAUAACGUAGGGAAACUUACGCUACUACCGCAUAUGACCUACGGGUGAAAGCAGGGGAUCUUCGGACCUUGCGCGAUUGAAUGAGCCGAUGUCGGAUUAGCUAGUUGACGGGGUAAAGGCCCACCAAGGCGACGAUCCGUAGCUGGUCUGAGAGGAUGAUCAGCCACACUGGAACUGAGACACGGUCCAGACUCCUACGGGAGGCAGCAGUGGGGAAUAUUGGACAAUGGGCGCAAGCCUGAUCCAGCCAUACCGCGUGAGUGAAGAAGGCCUUCGGGUUGUAAAGCCCUUUUGUUGGGAAAGAAAAGCAGCAGGUUAAUACCCCGCUGUUCUGACGGUACCCAAAGAAUAAGCACCGGCUAACUUCGUG
rnacentral:rRNA from 1 species